rnacentral:rRNA from 1 species
CCUACGGGUGACAGCAGUGAGGAAUAUUGGUCAAUGGGCGCGAGCCUGAACCAGCCAAGUAGCGUGAAGGAUGACUGCCCUACGGGUUGUAAACUUCUUUUAUCAAGGGAUAAAGUGAGGCACGUGUGCCUGUUUGUAUGUACUUUAUGAAUAAGCAUCGGCUAACUCCGUGCCAGCAGCCGCGGUAAUACGGAGGAUCCGAGCGUUAUCCGGAUUUAUUGGGUUUAAAGGGAGCGUAGAUGGGUUGUUAAGUCAGUUGUUAAAGUUUGCGGCUCAACCCUCGAAUUGCAAUUGAUACUGGCAGUCUUGAGUAGAGUUGAGGUAUGCGGAAUUCGCAGUGUAGCGGUGAAAUGCUUAGAUAUCACGCAGAACUCCGAUUGCGAAGGCAGCUUACUAAACUGCCACUGACAUUGAUGCUCGAAAGUGUGGGUAUCAAACAGGAUUAGAUACCCCUGUAGUC